AAAAAGGCAAACCCUGAGUUUCCGUGUCCAACUUUGACUGUCCGUCUUAUAUGAAAUUUUUUUAUAAUUCGUAUUUUUAUUGUUGUUAGAUGAUAAAACAUGAUUAAUACUUUGUGCGUGACUUGUCUUUUUAAUUUUUUUUAUAAUUUUUUCAAAUAAGACGGACGGUCAAAUGUUGGGCACGGAAACCAGGGUUUGUCUUUUU
rfam:Oryza sativa Japonica Group DNA, chromosome 5, cultivar: Nipponbare, complete sequence.